GGGAGGGGCCGCCCCCUCCCCCCGCCUCCCCCUGCCCCUCCCCCACCCCUUCGCCCUCCCCCUCCCCCCACCCAGGAUCUGCCCCUCCCCCCCCCGGCCCGGACCUCGCGGGACCCACAGAGACCCCCCGCAAAGGUCCAUCAGAGCAGCAGCGGAACCAGUUGGAGGAGCUGAGGAAAUUUGGGGCUCAGUUUAAGCUCCAGCCCAGCAGCGCCCCCCAGGACCCCCCCCCAGAGCCCCUCCCCCCACCCCGCAGCGGCCCCUCCCCCCCCGGAGCCCCCCCCGAGGCCCAAGGGGGGGGUGGGGGAGGGGCGGGGGGAGGGGCCGGGACCCCCCCGGGGACCCCCCAGGACAAGGACGAGUGACAUCUAUGCCCCUCCCCCUCCCUAUAUCUCCUAUAUACCCCAGCUCCAUGUGCAGGCCCCCCAAAUGUACCCGUACCCCGUGUCCACCCCCCCCCAAGGCAAAUACCGGGGAGGCAAAGGUUCCCUCCCCCCGCCGCCGCCGCGCUCGGAGCAGCCUCACGCCCCUCCCCCCCCAGCCCCUCCCCCGUCGGCAUCCGCCCCUCCUCCCCCUCCCCUGGUGCCUGUGGCCGCCCCUCCCCCCCCGCCCCCUCCCCCCCAUUACUCCCAGUACAUCUCGUACGGACCCCCCCAGGCCUUCGGGGGGGGGGCAGCCGCUCGUGCAGCCCCUCCCACACUACCCCUCGCAGGCUGUGUUCGCGCCGCUGCUCCCCGGCAGCCCCCGCCUGCACCCCUCCCCCACCCUGGUGUCCUCCGCCGCCCCUCCCCCGCCCCAGUUCCCUCCCGGCGACCAAUCAGGAGCCCCACAGACCCUGUACG
rnacentral:lncRNA from 1 species